rnacentral:rRNA from 1 species
ACAUGCCUACAACAUAACAUUAAUGCACCAGAUCCCAUUAGAACUCUGUAGUUAAGCACACUCAGGCUAGAGUAGUAUUGGGAUGGGUGACCACCUAUGAAGUCUUAGUGUUUUACAUGCC